CUCCGAAUUUUUAGUGGUAAUUGUUUAAGCCCCCUUGACUCCUCUUAUUUUGGUUCUCCCUUUAGAGUCCUUCACAUGAUCUCUGCUGCCCCCACCCAAACUCAGCCCCAAGGGUAUGUGGCUUCCAUUUAAAAUUCCACACCAAGGAUGUGCAGCCUCCAUUUUCUUUGUUUUCCUUUAACAUGAGAAUAAUAGAGCUAGGAGGACUCUUUUAAAAAAGAUUUAAAUUAACUCUCCUCUAAUUACAGUUGACAGAUUUGAGGUAGUAAGUAAUGUUCCUGAGGUCAAGUAACUAGAUCUUCCCAGAGGCGGCACUGUUGAUUCUCUAUCCUUUGCAAAUUACAACACUAUUCCUAAGGAAAGGUGGUGCUAAAGGAAGAACGUAUCUUUAGCAAACUCUCUUAGGCUGUGAUAGAGGGCAAAACCAAAAACUCAUUCAGCCCAGCAAAAAUCAGAGUCUCAGAAGGAAUCAGGGGCAUCUUAGAUAUAUCCCAUUAGGCCUCCUUAGGAAUAAAAACCUGCAAUCAGAGAAGGAGCAAGAACCCAACCGUCAUUCUCUGCCCCUCUGGGUGGAUGUGUGUAUGUGUCUCAGGCUAUUUUCUCUGCUUCACUUUGCACAUGAAGGCCUCUGGACUCAGACUGGGACUAAACAUCAGCUCUUCUGGGCCUCCAGUUUGCCAAACCACCCUGCUGAUCUUGGAUGUUGCCAGCCUCCAUAAUCAGAUAUUGAAAAUCCUUGCAUCCCUGGGAUGAAUAUCACUUGAUCAUGGUAUGUGACCC